UUAGCAGAUGAUGAGAAUCAAGACAAUAUAUCUGCAGCGCGCCCGAUACGAUUAACUCGGGAGCGCAAUAGCAUGAUGACUCCGUCUAGGGGAAUCUCUGAUGCAAA
rnacentral:snoRNA from 1 species